rnacentral:pre_miRNA from 1 species
AUGUAGGGCAAUCUGUCUUUAAGUAGGGGUAAAUUACUCUUAAAGAAAAAAAGGAAUCCUAGAUAGUUUUCCCUUCAAGUCAAGCGUCUUAU